rnacentral:misc_RNA from 1 species
UAAAAAAAAUCGUACAUCACUGAUGUUGCGGAUCUGGGUAUUCUGAUUUAUAAUUGGUUACCUAAAAUUAGAAUAAAAUAUGUAAUGUGAAGCGUACUAAUUAUAUAGUCGCUAAUCAUUUAUACUUAUUAUAUUGCGACUGAAGUAUUUUAGUUGGGGUGUAUAAAUUAUGAGAA